AGCUCUGCCUGGAGGUCCAGAUGUCCGACUCGUAUCCCAGUCUUUCCACCUGGGAGGUGCCCUCCCCUCUGAAGGCAGUGGGGCCCUCACACAUAGAGCUGAGGCUUGCGGACCUUCUCCAGGGUCAAAACACUUCCACACCAUGCAGCUUCCAUCCAAAGCACCACAGUCCUGCUUCCUUAUGACGUCUCCUCCUCCUCCACCGUCUGCUCCGUCCUCUGCCAUCUCCAGGAAUAUGUGAUGCAGAGCCCAUUGUGGAGCACUCCCCCGUUCUUCCUUCAAGACUCAGCUCAGACACCCUUCCUACAAGUUCUCCAUGACUCCUUAAGACCAGCACCCAGCCUCAGUCAUGUCCAGCUCUUUGCAACUGCAUGGACUGUUGCCCGCCAGGUUCCUCUGUCCAUGGGAUUUCCCAGAUCUCAAUCGUUUUGAGGAGUGCUAGACAGGUGCCUGGUGGGCUGCCGUCUAUGCGGUCACACAGAGUCGGACACGACUGAAGCAACGCAGCAGCAGCAGCAGCAGCAGACAGGCGUUUUGUAGAUUUGGACUUGGUGAUUUUAACGAGAGUUUGGUCCCUUCACUCACCGCAUGAAUAAAAGCCUGUCCUGAAA
ensembl:lncRNA